rnacentral:ribozyme from 16 species
AUAAUAAAAACAAAUGAAAAAAAAAAAAAGGAGGUCCAGCUGCGCGGCAGGUUUUACAUUAUCUUCUCUUUCUCUCAUUCUCUCUCUCUCACUCU